rnacentral:rRNA from 1 species
UAACAGUUAGAAAUAGCUGCUAAUACCGCAUAAGCGCACAGUUCCGCAUGGAACAGUGUGAAAAACUCCGGUGGUGUGAGAUGGACCCGCGUCUGAUUAGCCAGUUGGCGGGUAACGGCCCACCAAAGCGACGAUCAGUAGCCGGCCUGAGAGGGUGAACGGCCACAUUGGGACUGAGACACGGCCCAAACUCCUACGGGGAGGCAGCAUG